CUUCACGGAGCCGAGCCAGAGGGGUUGUUCGGCGUCGUGGUCCUGGCCGUAGGUGGCGAUCAGGGCCUGGGCCUC
rfam:Streptomyces viridochromogenes strain NRRL 3414 P001contig158.1, whole genome shotgun sequence.